AUGUGGAAGCAUCCUCAGGUAGUGUAGAUUCAAGUUUGUUCAAAUCAUGACCCCCGGGGCAAGGGUGGGGCCAAAAUGGCCGAAAGUUUUACAUAGGAAUAUAUAGGAAAAAUCUUUAAAAAUCUUCUUCUCCAGAACCACUGGGCUAGGAAAAAUGAAACUCAUGUGGAAUCAUCCUUAGGUAGUGUAGAUUCAAGUUUGUUCAAAUCAUGACCCCCGGGGCAAGGGUGGGGCCAAAAUGGCCGACCCAAGUUUUACAUAGGAAUAUAUAGGAAAAAUCUUUAAAAAUCUUCUUCUCCAGAACCACUGGGCCAGGAAAGAUGAAACUCAUGUGGAAUCAUCCUCAGGUAGUGUAGACUCAAGUUUUUUUCAAAUCAUGACCCCCGGCCCUGGGGAUAGGGUGGGGCCAAAAUGUCCGACCCAAGUUUUACAUAGGGAUAUAUAGGGAAACCUUUUAAAAUCUUCUUUUCAAGUACUUCAAAGCU